rnacentral:rRNA from 1 species
CCUACGGGAGGCAGCAGUGAGGAAUAUUGGUCAAUGGGCGAGAGUCUGAACCAGCCAAGUAGCGUGAAGGAUGACUGCCCUAUGGGUUGUAAACUUCUUUUAUAAAGGAAUAAAACGAGGCACGUGUGCCUUUUUGCAUGUACUUUAUGAAUAAGGAUCGGCUAACUCCGUGCCAGCAGCCGCGGUAAUACGGAGGAUCCGAGCGUUAUCCGGAUUUAUUGGGUUUAAAGGGAGCGUAGAUGGGUUGUUAAGUCAGUUGUGAAAGGUUGCGGCUCAACCGUAAAAUUGCAAUUGAUACUGGCAGUCUUGAGUACAGUUGAGGGAAGCGGAAUGCGUGGUGUAGCGGUGAAAUGCUUAGAUAUCACGAAGAACCCCGAUUGCGAAGGCAGCUUACUAAACUGUGACUGACAUUGAUGCUCGAAAGUGUGGGUAUCAAACAGGAUUAGAUACCCCUGUAGUC